rnacentral:lncRNA from 1 species
UACCAAAUUAUGUGAAAAAUGAGAAUCAAGAGGUCUUUCAAAGGUUGUAAUGUGGCUUAGGUUACAAGAAAGGAUAUGAUUAAGAGAAUUCAACCAAAUUGCCUAUCCUAAGGGAGCAUUCCCAAAGAUUCAACCCUACACAAUUUCCCUUUCUUUGAUCCCUAUCUUUUUCUUUUUCUUUUUCUUUUCAAAUCCACACAACCAUGAGCAUUUUCUUUGCUUUUUUCUUUCUUUUCUUUUUUCUUUGCUCUAUGGUUUCAAGGGUGAUUUCUUUUUCUUGUUUCUUUUCAUAUUUUUACCCUUUCAUAAAAACUCACUUUUCCAAGUUUCUAAUCAACUUUUCACUUUACUCUCCCCAACUUUAGAUUCCAAAACCAAAU